AGCGAACGCUGGCGGCAGGCUUAACACAUGCAAGUCGAGCGGGCGUAGCAAUACGUCAGCGGCAGACGGGUGAGUAACACGUGGGAACGUACCUUUUGGUUCGGAACAACACAGGGAAACUUGUGCUAAUACCGAAUAAGCCCUUACGGGGAAAGAUUUAUCGCCGAAAGAUCGGCCCGCGUCUGAUUAGCUUGUUGGUGAGGUAACGGCUCACCAAGGCACGAUCAGUAGCGGUCUGAGAGGAUGAUCAGCCACACUGGGACUGAGACACGGCCCAGACUCCUACGGGAGGCAGCAGUGGGGAAUAUUGGACAAUGGGGGCGAACCCUGAUCCAGCCAUGCCGCGUG
rnacentral:rRNA from 1 species